GGGUCGGUAGCGAAGUGGCCAAACGCACCUGACUGUAAAUCAGGCGGUUAAUCCUUCAGAGGUUCGAAUCCUCUCCGGCCCA
rnacentral:tRNA from 2 species